GGGGGCAGGGGAUCUGGAACUUCUUGUAGAUGACCUGGGCAGGAAGGGGGCGGAAAACCCAGUCAGCGCCUGGCCCUGCCAGUGUUGCGCACGGCCCCCCAGCAGCUCAGCCCCAGCUCUGAGCCUGGGAGGAAAGGCAGCGAAGGAGACGGGUGCUGCCCAAGCAUGAGGGGGAGAUCAUGGGGCAGGGGAGAGCGGCCCAUCCCUCUGUAUCACUGACCAACCCAGCCAGGCCUUCCCAGUCCAACCCUCAGGGUCCUUCUCUGCUCUUCCGGAAACCCCUGCUCCCCAUGGGCUGCCAGAGCAGGGAGAUCACCCUGGGCCCCAGCCACGCUGGUCCGAGGUCCCCUGAAGGGUGUGAUUCAUCCCACACCGCAGCGCCUGAGGCCCCCUUGCAGCCCCUGGGCACAGACUGGGCUCCCAGGGCGCUCGUAACUUUCAGGCCUGGCAAAUUAUUUCAAGGGAUACUGUAGAGACACCAUGACCCCCCCCCUCCCCCCAGCUCUCUGUCUGUGGGCUUUGCUCUGGCCUACCACACUCUGACCCUAACCCCGCCCAUGUCUAACUGCACCUCUCCCCCAGGGAUGCUGUUACCUCCCGCCCCUCCGCCAGCUGGGGAGAGAGAAAGUGAUUCCUAGAUCUAUGGCCAGGAGGGACCAAUCUGACUUCCUGGAUAGCCCAGGCCAGAGACCUGCCCCACAGUAAUCCUCAGAGCAGAGCUGCGAGCAAAGCAUCCCAUCUUGGUUUAAAAGUUAUCACAGAUGGAGACUCCACCCCGCCCCUGGGUAAAUGGUUCUAGUGGUUAGUUACCCUCCCUGCUAAAACAUACGCCUCAUUUCCAGUGUGAAGGUGUCUAGCUUCAGCUUCCAGCCACUGGAUCCUGUUAGACCUUCCUCCGCUCAAUUAAAUAUCUGUGCCCCACGCAGGUACCCACAGACUGGGCUCCAGUCACCCACUGACCGUCUCUUCGCUAAGCUAAACAGAUGGAGCUUCCGGCGUCUCGCGCUCUCAGGCAGGUUUUCGAGUCCUUUCCAUUCCUCGCUGCUCAUCUCUGAGCCCUCGGCAACGUAUCCCCCUCCCCCUUGAACCCUGGACCAGACUGAGGCUGCUCAGUGUCACUAGGCCUCAGGUCUCAGUUGCACUCUGGGAUUCUGGGUGCUGGAGCCAAACCCGCCUGCCUGCGAGAUGAGCAACGGAAACCCCAUGAUGUCUUCGAAACCGCUUGGCCCUUCCAGGGCCUGAUGUCACAGCAGGGUUUGGUGACGGGCAAAGAAUUCUCAUAUCUCGCAGGUUAUGUGUGUGCGUGUGCCUCUCUGUGUGUGUGUGCAUGUGUGUGCCUAUCAGUGUGCGUGUGUGUUCGUGCAUGAGCUGGUGUGUAUGUGUGUGUGCGCGAGCCUCUCUGUGUGCGUGUGCGCACAUGCAUGAGUGUGCGUGUGUCUCUCGGUGUGCGUGUGUGUUCGUGUAUGAGCUGGUGUGUAUGUGUGUGUGCGCGAGCCUCUCUGUGUGCGUGUGCGUGCAUGCAUGAGUGUGCGUGUGUCUCUGUGUGCGUGCGCAUGCAUGAGUGUGCAUGUGCCUCUCAGCGUGCGUGUGCAAGCGUGCAUGAGCAUGUGUGCCUUUCACAGUGCAUGUGCGUGUGUGCAUGAGUGUGUGUGUGCGCGAGCCUCUCUAUGUGCAUGUGGGCGCGUGCAUGUGUGCAUGUGCCUCUCCAUGUGCGUGCGUGCAUGAGCGUGUGUGUGCAGGAGUGUGUGCGCAUGCAUGAGCGUGUGUGCAUGUGCGCGAGCCUCUCUGUGUGCGUGUGUGCACAUGCAUGAGUGUGUCUGUGCCUCUCCGUGUGCGCAUGCAUGAGUAUGUAUGCCUAUGUGCAUGUGCAUGAACCUCUGUGUGUAUGCGCGCGCAUGCAUGAGCGUGUGUGUGCACGAGCCUCUCCACGUGCACGUGCAUGAGUGUGUGUGCCUAUGUGCGCGUGCAUGAAUCUCUCCAUGUGCGCACGUGCAUGAGUGCGUGUGCGCGUACAUGAACCUCUCAGUGUGCAUGUGCAUGAACCUCUCCGUGUGUGCGCGCGUGCAUGAGUGUGCGCGCGCAUGCAUGAACCUCUCCAUGUGCAUGUGCAUGAACCUCUCUGUGUGUGCGUGUGUGCAUGCGUGCAUGAGUGUGCGUGCAUGAACCUCUCCGUGUGUGCUGCUAUCCCUGAAGGCUCAGCGUUCUCCCCCAGCCCCGGAGCCCUCGCCCACCCCUCUACCCUGGAUCUAGGCUUCUUCAACUAGAAAUAAAACCAUUUGUUUGCCAGGCCAGGCCCCGAGGGGUCUGCUUGGGACCAGCUGAUGGGCCAGUAGGGACCAGGUCCCUGUCUGGGGCCACAAGCAGCCAUGACAAGCCCAGCGGCUCCAGCUCCUUCUCUGCAGCCCAAAGCAGAGACCUUCAGUCCCCAGCUGGUGUCUGGAGCUCUGAGCAGCCAUGGGAGCAAGUGCUGAGCAACCAGGCACUGUCCUGCCCCUGCUGGAGUCACUAACAACCCGCAGUGCGGGCCAACAGGAGCAGAGGGUCCUGCUAUCCCAGCCCUGGGCUCCCCCCAGCUCUGCUGGUGCUCCUCGCUCCUGACCCGCAGCCCCUGCUACCCUAGCCCUGGGCUCACCCGCAGCUCUGCCAGUGCCCCUCACUCCCAACCCGCAGCCCCCUGCUAUCCCAGCCCAGGGCCUCUCUGAAGUGGAGUUGGCAGUGUUUCAGCUAGUGCAGAAUGGGGCCAUUUGGCCGCUAGAAAAGGCCCAUUUCACCUGGGAGCUACGCCAGCUUUAAACCCAGCUCCCCUGAGCUGGCAGGCUGUGCUGCUCCCCCAGGGACCCUGGUGAGGGGAGCUGGAAGAGCGGCUGGUCUCUGCCCAUGUGGAGCUGCAGCCAGACUCUCCCCCGCCCCCAGACAAAGACAUGGCACUCAGCGCCCGCAUGACGGGCGUGCAGCUCCCCAUGCCAGGGCUGAGAUCACACCAGGGUCCUCAUGCACUGAGCCGCCUAUCUCCUGUGCUCCCACGUCAGUCCGCAGAGCCCAUCACCCGGAGUCAGGCCCUUUGUGUGGCCCCCUCACUCCCGAUCCCUCCCCAGCGGCAGCGUCCCGAGCUCCAGCUAGGGCACAGGCCACCCAGGACUAGGGGCAAGGUAAACGGGGCCCCUUGUCAGUCAGUGCCAGGCCUCACAUCCCGGGUCCUUCUGCAGAGCGAUGACCCCUUUGUGGGGGAGGAAGCCAAUGGUGGGGCUUCCCCCCAAACCUCCAGGGAGUCCCAGGAGCUGGAAUCUAGAGCAGCUCAGUGGACACAUGAGACGUGCAGGGGGAAGUGUUAGGCCCAAAAACCGAAAAACAUGCUUAUCUCGGCUUCUGCUUGUUAUCCCAGUAAACAUGCUUAUCUCAGUUCUCACUGUCGUUUCCCAUGCAUGAAGCUGCACGUAUACAGGAUGUAUAGAAGAUAUAUGGAAAAGGGGAGGGGGUUGGACGGACCCUGGGAAAGGAAUGUGAAGGACGGGAAGCUAAACAGAUGUAUCCUGAUUACUACUAGAACUGAAUUUAAACAAAGCAUAGGUUAGCAGAAUUUAGACACGCUAAGUUGUUUGUCUCUCUGUAUAAAAGAAGCCCAGUUGUGCUUGUAAGGUGUGUUCCUCCCUCUGGCAUGAGUCGAGGGGGACACCCGCUCAGCUGACUGAUCAAUAAAGAAGUUGAAGCCGUCUUCUAGACUCCCGUGCCUCCUGGGGGUAAUUGGGCAGCUCCAGGGGGAAACGAGCCCAUUUGGCUAACAAAUGGCGACCCAGAUGGGACUUCUCUCCCUGUAGAGGGCACUGACCGACGGCCGAGGGCAAUUCCGAGGAGUGGCCACCUCGAGCUGUUGCUUUGCUCGGGCCUCGGAUCGUCACAAUCGGCCGGGGCGGCUGCGUCCUCUCUGAAGAGAACUCUGAAGGACACGGAAGCAAGACGGCUUCAGAAGGAGGGGAAGUCUGACUGCCGGACGCGGCCACUUUGGGCGCUGCAUCGACGCGGUGCCUUUUCAGGCCCUUCCCUUGGACCAGCCUGUGCACCCGUUCCAGAUCGGUGAUCAGAUCCUUGUCAAGAAGUGGAAGCGUGACCCCUUACACCACGGUGGGACGGCCCGCAUACUGUCUUGCUCAUCAGCCAAGCUGCAGUCAAAGUUAUUGGGAGUGACAAAUGGACGCACCAUACGCGGGUAAAACGGUUUCUGAACCCUAACCUAGAAACUGAGUCAGUGGAAGAGGACACCGGCCCUCUGCCCGCCCCGGCUCCGGAUGCCCGGGGUGGCACAGGUGAAGACUCCACCUGGGAGUAUCAGUACUUGGACGGACUAAAGGGACUGUUUAGAAAAAGAUAAUGAAAUUAUUGUUAAUAUCUUUGUUUAUGUGCUUCCACCACUAUUAUGGUUGGGAAAAUAGGUUUUUACAGCUGGGGGAGACAAUAGCAAAAUCCUUUAACCUCAGUAACUGAUGGGUACGCGGAGGCCCAGGGGAAUUAAAUGAAUGGCCUUGGGUAGCCCAGCCGGUACAGCCCAAAUGGUGGCUCAGCAAUUUGAGUAUAGUCCACGACGGAACGGGGGUUUGGACUGAGGAUAGUAGCCCCUGGCGACUGUAUUCUUCUGGAAUGGGUAUUCUCUGCCUUAAUCGGACAAGGCGGGAGGGAGUGUACUUGGGAGAAAGCAAGUGUGAUUGGACUCUAUCCCCAGGGUUUGAUUGCUGGGACCCUUAUUGUCAUCUGUAUGACUGUUCUAAAUAUCAGGGGCAAUGGAACCAGACCCAUGUGAGGCUCACCAAUAAUAGUUGGGUGAAAUGCUCCAAACAAUACUACCCUACGGCCGAAGGUUGCAGGGCGGUAGGACAGGAUGGGUUCUUUGACGCCCUAUUCACGAGUUGCCAGCUAGACAAUACCACUAGCAAGGACCACGUGGUACGGUGGUUUCAAAUGGGCAUGGCAGAAUCAGAAUGGAACUUGAGUAUGGGGUUUUAAACAAUUCUGGUCUAGCACCAAUCAGCCAAAAUGGGGCUGCGAUUGAGUCUGGAAAGCAGGAGCUGGGGCGUGGAGAUGUGAUUAUUGCAGUUCAGCUGAUGGAAUGGUGGGGGGACCUUUAGGGCCAGGUAAUCCUUUAUAUUUUGACCAUCUAGAGGACGAUGAGAAUGAGGAAACCUGGGAUGGCCCCUUUGCUAAUGGAACCUGGGCUCUAAAGGGCCAUUAUUGGAUCCGCGGGUCCUAUGCCUACCGAAGAUUGCCUCCAAAUUGGUCUGGGAUAUGUUAUGUUGGAUAUAUAAGACCCUUGUUCUUUCUAUUACCCCAGAUGCAGGGAAAUAAAUUGGGAAUUAAGGUUUAAUUAGAGAAAGGCGGUUCGUGGAUUCCACCCUGACCGCCGGAAGCUCCCAAACAUGGGGGGCUCAGGAGUGGCCCCCUGAGAGAAUUAUAAAACAUUAUGGUCCAGCUACAUGGAAUCCUAAUGAGUGGAUCUCAGGGGCAAGGGAGCCCAUUUACAACUUGAAUCGGAUAAUUAGGCUGCAAGCCAUUUUAGAAAUAAUAACUAAUCAGACGGCUGCAGCUCUUGAUCUUUUGGCCGAUCAGUCCACUCAGAUGAGGAAUGUGCUCUACCAGCACCAUCUAGUUCUUGAUUAUUUGCUGGCAGAAGAAGGGGGAAUCUGUGCAAAAUUAAACUAAUCUAAUUGCUGUUUACAAAUAGAUGAUAAUGGAAAGGCGGUAAAACAGCUAACAAAAGAAAUGAGGAAGCUAGCCCAUGUCCCGGUCCAAACAUGGGGUGGGUGGAAUAUGGACUGGUUCACGUCCUGGUUACCGCAACUGGGAUGGCUCCAAGAAGGCCUUCUUCUCUUUGUACUCUUUAUUACAACCCUAUUAACCCUAGCUUGCUUUGCUCCCUGUGUAGUUGCAUUAGUCCGACGAAUGGCUAAUCAAAUUAUACACCAACAAAUGAUGGCCCUAUACCAGCCGGUGAAGGCUGAGGAUUGGGGGCCAUAAGGCUCUCAAAAUGCUUUUUAGGGGGGAAUCUUGUUAGGCCCAAAAACCGAAAAACAUGCUUAUCUCGGCUUCUGCUUGUUAUCCCAGUAAACAUGCUUAUCUCAGUUCUCACUGUCGUUUCCCAUGCAUGAAGCUGCACGUAUACAGGAUGUAUAGAAGAUAUAUGGAAAAGGGGAGGGGGUUGGACGGACCCUGGGAAAGGAAUGUGAAGGACGGGAAGCUAAACAGAUGUAUCCUGAUUACUACUAGAACUGAAUUUAAACAAAGCAUAGGUUAGCAGAAUUUAGACAUGCUAAGUUGUUUGUCUCUCUGUAUAAAAGAAGCCCAGUUGUGCUUGUAAGGUGUGUUCCUCCCUCUGGCAUGAGUCGAGGGGGACACCCGCUCAGCUGACUGAUCAAUAAAGAACUUGAAGCCGU